GAGGGUAUAGCUCAAGUGGUAGAGCACAUGCUUAGCAUGCGCAAGGCCCUGGGUUCAAUCCCUAGCACCUCCU
rnacentral:tRNA from 1 species